UGGUUUGACCUCGGAUCAGGUAGGGUUACC
rnacentral:rRNA from 2 species